UACGAAGGGGGCUAGCGUUGUUCGGAUUUACUGGGCGUAAAGCGCACGUAGGCGGAUUGUUAAGUCAGGGGUGAAAUCCUGGAGCUCAACUCCAGAACUGCCUUUGAUACUGGCAAUCUUGAGUCCGGAAGAGGUGAGUGGAACUCCUAGUGUAGAGGUGGAAUUCGUAGAUAUUCGGAAGAACACCAGUGGCGAAGGCGGCUCACUGGACCGGUAUUGACGCUGAUGUGCGAAAGCGUGGGGAGCAAACAGG
rnacentral:rRNA from 1 species